CUCUCGCGACUACAUUACUCCAACGACAGAAGCUGCGAUCUACGAUGCAAAAGGCGGGAGAAAGUGACGUGUCCUACGUAAAACGUGUCUUGGCAGUGGCGAAGUUGUGCGAAUAUGGCGAAGAGCAGCUGGUCGAGAAUGUUGCGGAUAUUCUUCAGCUAUCACGCCAUAAAUGUAAAGGUACGAGAAGCAGGACGGAAAGUAUCAAGAAAAGGUUGUACUUUGGUCGAUUUGAUGGACAAGAUACGAGCAUACGAAAUUGAGCAGCUGAAUGAGGCGAUUUUUGCAAAAACUCAUCUUCCGAACCAACCGAAUAUUGCUGCGGUGUCGCACGGAUCCCAAUACGGCGGCGCUCAUCAAUUUCGCGGACAGCCAUUUGUCGAGAACCGAUUUGGGAUGAAGUUUGAUGGCGAAAGAGGCAGAAGCACCUUCAAACGACGAGGAAACGACAACAAUCAACGAGUGCAGUGUUGGCGAUGCACAAGCUACUAUCAUUCUCCAUCAACAUGUCACGCUUUGGAAAAGGUUUGACGGAAAUGCCAUGCCAAGGGGCAUAUCGAAAGAGCUUGUCGUGAAAACCCGAAAGCGUUCUCGUUGAAACGUCGAGCAUCCGAGGAGGACGCUACAGCUCCCAAACCGAAGCGCGUCGCUGCAGUUCAGAGAGAAACAGAGGAUGAAAAGGACAUCGUCAAGGACUCACGAGUUGGGUCUAUCGAUGUGAUUCCCAAAGGCGACACUACA